ensembl:snoRNA small nucleolar RNA SNORD113/SNORD114 family
UGGACCAAUGAUGAGAGAAUCAUCAAUCAAGGAUUAUGAUGAAUCCAAUACUGUGAAUCUGAGGUCCAA